rnacentral:rRNA from 1 species
GACGAACGCUGGCGGCGUGCUUAACACAUGCAAGUCGAACGGUGAAGCGCCUUCCUUUUUGGUGGGUGUGGAUGAGUGGCGAACGGGUGAGUAACACGUGAGUAACCUGCCCCCUUCUUCUGGAUAACCGCAUGAAAGUGUGGCUAAUACGGGAUAUUCUGGGUCUGUCGCAUGAUGGGUCUGGGAAAGAUAUUGUUUCGGUGGGGGAUGGGCUCGCGGCUAUCAGCUUGUUGGUGGGGUGAUGGCCUACCAAGGCGGUGACGGGUAGCCGGCCUGAGAGGGUGGACGGUCACACUGGGACUGAGACACGGCCCAGACUCCUACGGGAGGCAGCAGUGGGGAAUAUUGCACAAUGGGCGCAAGCCUGAUGCAGCGACGCCGCGUGAGGGAUGGAGGCCUUCGGGUUGUGAACCUCUUUCGCCAGUGAAGCAGGCCUGCCUCGUUUGUGGGUGGGUUGACGGUAGCUGGAUAAGAAGCGCCGGCUAACUACGUG